rnacentral:rRNA from 1 species
UACGUAGGGUGCGAGCGUUAAUCGGAAUUACUGGGUGUAAAGGACGUGUAGGCGGGAAGACAAGUCAGAUGUGAAAUACCGUGGCUUAACCACGGGGCUGCAUCUGAAACUGUUUUUCUUGAGUGUCGGAGAGGAAAGUGGAAUUCCCAGUGUAGCGGUGAAAUGCGUAGAUAUUGGGAGGAACACCAGUGGCGAAGGCGACUUUCUGGACGAUAACUGACGCUGAGGCGCGAAAGCGUGGGGAGCAAACAGG